rnacentral:rRNA from 1 species
AUUGAACGCUGGCGGCAGGCCUAACACAUGCAAGUCGAGCGGAUGAAGGGAGCUUGCUCCUGGAUUCAGCGGCGGACGGGUGAGUAAUGCCUAGGAAUCUGCCUGGUAGUGGGGGAUAACGUCCGGAAACGGGCGCUAAUACCGCAUACGUCCUGAGGGAGAAAGUGGGGGAUCUUCGGACCUCACGCUAUCAGAUGAGCCUAGGUCGGAUUAGCUAGUUGGUGGGGUAAAGGCCUACCAAGGCGACGAUCCGUAACUGGUCUGAGAGGAUGAUCAGUCACACGGGAACUGAGACACGUUCCAGACUCCUACGGAAGGCAGCGGUGGGGAAUAUUGGACAAGGGGCGAAAGCCUGAUCCAGCCAUGCGGGGUGUGUGAAGAAGGUCUGCGGAUGGUAAAGCACUUUAAGUUGGGAGAAAGGGCAGUAAGUUAAUACCUGGCUGUUUGGACGUAACCAAAAGAAUAAGCACCGGCAAACUUCGG